rnacentral:rRNA from 1 species
CCUACGGGGGGCAGCAGUGGGGAAUAUUGCACAAUGGGCGCAAGCCUGAUGCAGCCAUGUCGCGUGUGUGAAGAAGGCCUUCGGGUUGUAAAGCACUUUCAGCGGGGAGGAAGGCGUUAAGGUUAAUAACCUUGUCGAUUGACGUUACCCGCAGAAGAAGCACCGGCUAACUCCGUGCCAGCAGCCGCGGUAAUACGGAGGGUGCAAGCGUUAAUCGGAAUUACUGGGCGUAAAGCGCACGCAGGCGGCCUGUCAAGUCGGAUGUGAAAUCCCCGGGCUCAACCUGGGAACUGCAUUCGAAACUGGCAGGCUAGAGUCUUGUAGAGGGGGGUAGAAUUCCAGGUGUAGCGGUGAAAUGCGUAGAGAUCUUGAGGAAUACCGGUGGCGAAGGCGGCCCCCUGGACAAAGACUGACGCUCAGGUGCGAAAGCGUGGGGAGCAAACAGGAUUAGAUACCCUUGUAGUC